AUAACUCUCAUCAUCCCCCCUCCUCAUAACUCUCAUUAUCUCCCCCUCCUCAUUACUCUAAGGCAGCAUCCCCUCCUCCUCAUUACUCUCAUCCUCCACCCUCCUCAUUACUCUCAUCAUCCCCCUCCUCAUUACUCUCAGCAUUCCCCCUCCUCAUUACUCUCAUCAUCCCCCUCCUCAUUACUCUCAGCAUCCCCCCUCCUCAUUACUCUCAGCAUUCCCCUCCUCAUUACUCUCAUCAUCCCCCUCCCCAUUACUCUCAGCAUUCCCCUCCUCAUUACUCUCAUCAUCCCCCUCCUCAUUACUCUCAGCAUU